AACGCAAAUUGCACUCUCUGGUAUUCCGGGGAGUAUGCCUGUUUGAGGGUCGCCAAAUCAACAUCGAAAUUCAUUUGCUUUUGUAAAUGUUUAUCGGAUUUGAGCCGUCUUUUUUUAUUUUUUAAUUAAAGUGGCUUAAAAUGUAUUUUUUUGGUAUAUCGAAAAACGUUAUUUUACGAUCAAAUUGAUUAAAAAAACAAACGUUUCGAAUGCCGUCUUUUAAUGUGUAAUACGUUUGACUGUGAUGUUUAAUCAUGGUUUCAUUCGUAUACGAUUUUUUAAUUUUUGACCUCAAAUCAGGUAAGAACACCCGCUGAACUUAA
rnacentral:misc_RNA from 1 species